AGCCUGGAGGGGUUUUAGGUAAAACCUGCCCAAUGCCGCAACUGGUGAAUGGCCGCAGUACCUUGACUGUGCUAAGGUAGCGUAAUCAGUUGGCUUUUAAGUGGAGUCGUGUAUGAAGGGAUUGAUGGGGCUAAGCUGUCUCUACUAAAUUUAUUCGAAAUUAUAAAUAAGGUGAAAAUACCUUUGUAAAGAUAAAGGACGAUAAGACCCUUGGAGUUUUUACUAAGCAGCCUUAUUGGCUCGUUGUUUUUGCUGGGGCGGCAUAGAGGGAUAUGUAACCCUCUGAAAAUUAAGCCGAGAGUGAUAAGUAUAAUUAAACUACCCGAGGGAUAACAGCAUUAUUCUCAAUAGAGUUUGUGACCUCGAUGUUGGACUAGGAAUUAAUUAGGCUAGCCGCUUAAAUUUAUUGUUCUGUUCGAACUAGUUUUCCU
rnacentral:rRNA from 1 species